GGCUAAACCAUGCACCGAAGCUGCGGCAGCGACACUGUGUGUUGUUGGGUAGGGGAGCGUUCUGUAAGCCUGCGAAGGUGGCCUGUGAGGGUUGCUGGAGGUAUCAGAAGUGCGAAUGCUGACAUAAGUAACGAUAAAGCGGGUGAAAAGCCCGCUCGCCGGAAGACCAAGGGUUCCUGUCCAACGUUAAUCGGGGCAGGGUGAGUCGACCCCUAAGGCGAGGCCGAAAGGCGUAGUCGAUGGGAAACGGGUUAAUAUUCCCGUACUUGGUGUUACUGCGAAGGGGGGACGGAGAAGGCUAUGUUGGCCGGGCGACGGUUGUCCCGGUUUAAGCGUGUAGGUGUGUGUUCCAGGUAAAUCCGGUUCACUUUAACACUGAGGCGUGACGACGAGGCACUACGGUGCUGAAGCAACAAAUGCCCUGCUUCCAGGAAAAGCCUCUAAGCAUCAGGUAACAUCAAAUCGUACCCCAAACCGACACAGGUGGUCAGGUAGAGAAUACCAAGGCGCUUGAGAGAACUCGGGUGAAGGAACUAGGCAAAAUGGUGCCGUAACUUCGGGAGAAGGCACGCUGACACGUAGGUGAAGUGAUUUACUCAUGGAGCUGAAGUCAGUCGAAGAUACCAGCUGGCUGCAACUGUUUAUUAAAAACACAGCACUGUGCAAACACGAAAGUGGACGUAUACGGUGUGACGCCUGCCCGGUGCCGGAAGGUUAAUUGAUGGGGUCAGCGCAAGCGAAGCUCCUGAUCGAAGCCCCGGUAAACGGCGGCCGUAACUAUAACGGUCCUAAGGUAGCGAAAUUCCUUGUCGGGUAAGUUCCGACCUGCACGAAUGGCGUAAUGAUGGCCAGGCUGUCUCCACCCGAGACUCAGUGAAAUUGAACUCGCUGUGAAGAUGCAGUGUACCCGCGGCAAGACGGAAAGACCCCGUGAACCUUUACUAUAGCUUGACACUGAACAUUGAGCCUUGAUGUGUAGGAUAGGUGGGAGGCUUUGAAGUGUGGACGCCAGUCUGCAUGGAGCCGACCUUGAAAUACCACCCUUUAAUGUUUGAUGUUCUAACGUGGACCCGUUACCCGGGUUGCGGACAGUGUCUGGUGGGUAGUUUGACUGGGGCGGUCUCCUCCUAAAGAGUAACGGAGGAGCACGAAGGUUGGCUAAUCCUGGUCGGACAUCAGGAGGUUAGUGCAAUGGCAUAAGCCAGCUUGACUGCGAGCGUGACGGCGCGAGCAGGUGCGAAAGCAGGUCAUAGUGAUCCGGUGGUUCUGAAUGGAAGGGCCAUCGCUCAACGGAUAAAAGGUACUCCGGGGAUAACAGGCUGAUACCGCCCAAGAGUUCAUAUCGACGGCGGUGUUUGGCACCUCGAUGUCGGCUCAUCACAUCCUGGGGCUGAAGUAGGUCCCAAGGGUAUGGCUGUUCGCCAUUUAAAGUGGUACGCGAGCUGGGUUUAGAACGUCGUGAGACAGUUCGGUCCCUAUCUGCCGUGGGCGCUGGAGAACUGAGGGGGGCUGCUCCUAGUACGAGAGGACCGGAGUGGACGCAUCACUGGUGUUCGGGUUGUCAUGCCAAUGGCACUGCCCGGUAGCUAAAUGCGGAAGAGAUAAGUGCUGAAAGCAUCUAAGCACGAAACUUGCCCCGAG
rnacentral:rRNA from 1 species